CUCAGUCAGAAGGAGAACACCUCGGUGGCCGCCGUCCCCUCCUCACACGUGCGCCGCUCCUACACCUGAGGGGACACCAGGACCUGCACCCCCAAAACGUCUCCGCAAGGUUGGGUGGCACCUGGUGUGUCCCUUAAUGUCCCCAGCCCCCCAGGGCUCUCCCCGGCAUCGCCCUCGGCCCCGAGUGCAAGAGGAAGCAGAAGGCAACGCCAAGCAAUAUGCCUUCAGUCCCCCUGAGGAUCGAGAGGAUGAUGGGGAAGGGGAAUCAGUGGAAGAAGAGCAGAGUGGAAUUCUGCAUCUGUUGUCCCAGGUUGAACAAGCAGCAUCCUGGAAGCAUUGAUCAUCCUGGGCAGCUUGGUUGGACUGAAAGGAGGAAUUUCAGAGUGGGAAAGAGAGGUGAAUCCUAUCAUUGGUUUCCUGAAGUGGAUGACUUCAACUGUCUGGUCUGGACCUCACAAUGAACAGUAGAGAACCUGAAAACUUUUCUGGGGAAGUGGCCUGCAGCUCACAAGUGAAGUGGGGAAGGUUUCUGGCAGUUGUGAAUAGGGGCUUGAUCCAAAAGGUGGGGUUUUUUGGCAACUCCUGGGACACUGGAAAAUGCCUGAUGUCAAGUUGAGCUGCCAGUGAGCAUCGUGGGCGUCCAUUUUGUCUGCAUCAGGAGCAGCAAUCGACCCUGCUCUCAGCAGUGGUCUGUGCCAGCAGAGAGCAGAGCCACAAGAAGGGCACGUGCAGCUGCUGUUGGGAAAGAAGCAGCAGGGAAGAGAUGAACCUUCCUCUGGAUGAGGAGGCCUGUGAGAGGAUGUAACUGCAUGGGGUGAGAGUGUUGUGGACUGGGGAAAAUGGAGUGUUAGUGUAGUUAAGAAGAGGUUUUGGAGAGCUCGGCGGUGUCCUUGGAUCCCUCUAAGUGGGACUGGGCUAUAGGUAAGAGAGGAGGCAGUUAACCUCAGAUCUCUGGGUUUUUAGAUGAUGUCAGCUGGCUUGCAAACGUCAGAACUCAUCCAUCAGUUUGAGAACACAGUCAGCUUAGAGACAGAGGGAGCCUUGUGUGCUUUGUCUGCAACAUUCAGUUAGUAUGCAGAGUCAUGGAAUCAUAGAAUUGGCUGGGUUGGAAGGAACCUCAGAGAUCAU